UUGCUCCAGCAUUUUAAUUUUAAUUCUUGAAUAACUACGAUUCACCUACGUAUUUCUCGAUUAUUCGUAAUGGGUUGGAAAGGACGAAUCGCUUUGUUUUGUUAUUGGGGUGGUGCAGUCAAACUUGCAAGCAUCAUUACGCUGGUGACAUGUUUGAUUGUUCACGUGAUCUUCUUCAGCUUAGCGUUUCCAACUUUUUUAACAGGUACCAAAGUAAGCUGCAGUUUCUGGGCUAACGUGAUGAUAUACAUCGUCGCUCAAUUGACUGUUUUCUCCAUCUCUUUAAUCGGAACAAUUGCUGUAAGUUCAAGUCAUA